UACGAAGGGGGCUAGCGUUGCUCGGAAUCACUGGGCGUAAAGGGUGCGUAGGCGGGUCUUAAGUCAGGGGUGAAAUCCUGGAGCUCAACUCCAGAACUGCCUUUGAUACUGAAGAUCUUGAGUUCGGGAGAGGUGAGUGGAACUGCGAGUGUAGAGGUGAAAUUCGUAGAUAUUCGCAAGAACACCAGUGGCGAAGGCGGCUCACUGGCCCGAUACUGACGCUGAGGCACGAAAGCGUGGGGAGCAAACAG
rnacentral:rRNA from 1 species